GACGAACGCUGGCGGCGUGCUUAACACAUGCAAGUCGAACGGAAAGGCCCUGCUUUUGUGGGGUGCUCGAGUGGCGAACGGGUGAGUAACGCGUGAGUAACCUGCCCUUGACUUUGGGAUAACUUCAGGAAACUGGGGCUAAUACCGGAUAGGAGCUCCUGCUGCAUGGUGGGGGUUGGAAAGUUUCGGCGGUUGGGGAUGGACUCGCGGCUUAUCAGCUUGUUGGUGGGGUAGUGGCUUACCAAGGCUUUGACGGGUAGCCGGCCUGAGAGGGUGACCGGCCACAUUGGGACUGAGAUACGGCCCGAACUCCUACGGGAGGCAGCAGUGGGGAAUAUUGCACAAUGGGCGGAAGCCUGAUGCAGCAACGCCGCGUGCGGGAUGACGGCCUUCGGGUUGUAAACCGCUUUCGCCUGUGACGAAGCGUGAGUGACGGUAAUGGGUAAAGAAGCACCGGCUAACUACGUG
rnacentral:rRNA from 1 species